AUUGAACGCUGGCGGCAUGCCUUACACAUGCAAGUCGAACGGUAACAGGUCUUCGGAUGCUGACGAGUGGCGAACGGGUGAGUAAUACAUCGGAACGUGCCCGAUCGUGGGGGAUAACGGAGCGAAAGCUUUGCUAAUACCGCAUACGAUCUACGGAUGAAAGCAGGGGACCGCAAGGCCUUGCGCGGACGGAGCGGCCGAUGGCAGAUUAGGUAGUUGGUGGGAUAAAAGCUUACCAAGCCGACGAUCUGUAGCUGGUCUGAGAGGACGACCAGCCACACUGGGACGGAGACACGGCCCAGACUCCUACGGGAGGCAGCAGUGGGGAAUUUUGGACAAUGGGCGCAAGCCUGAUCCAGCCAUGCCGCGUGCAGGAUGAAGGCCUUCGGGUUGUAAACUGCUUUUGUACGGAACGAAAAGACUCUUUCUAAUAAAGAGGGUCCAUGACGGUACCGUAAGAAUAAGCACCGGCUAACUACGUGCCAGCCGCCGCGGUAA
rnacentral:rRNA from 1 species